AUGAACGCUGGCGGCGUGCUUAACACAUGCAAGUCGAACGAAGCACCUCUAAUCGAAGAUUGAGAAAGCUUGCUUUGAUUGAUUCACCUUGAGGUGACUGAGUGGCGGACGGGUGAGUAACGCGUGGGUAACCUACCCUAUACAGGGGGAUAACAGUUGGAAACGACUGCUAAUACCGCAUAAGCGCACAGGACCGCAUGGUCUAAGUGUGAAAAAACUCCGGUGGUAUAGGAUGGACCCGCGUCUGAUUAGCUAGUUGGUGAGGUAACGGCUCACCAAGGCGACGAUCAGUAGCCGACCUGAGAGGGUGACCGGCCACAUUGGGACUGAGACACGGCCCAAACUCCUACGGGAGGCAGCAGUGGGGAAUAUUGCACAAUGGGCGAAAGCCUGAUGCCAGCGACGCCGCGUGAACGAAGAAGUAUUUCGGUAUGUAAAGUUCUAUCAGCAGGGAAGAAAAAUGACGGUACCUGACUAAGAAGCUCCGGCUAAAUACGUGCCAGCCGCAGC
rnacentral:rRNA from 1 species